rnacentral:rRNA from 1 species
UGGAUGAUGUGGUUUAAUUCGAUGCAACGCGAAAACCUUACCCACCUUUGACAUGUACGGAAUCCUUUAGAGAUAGAGGAGUGCUCGAAAGAGAACCGUAACACAGGUGCUGCAUGGCUGUCGUCAGCUCGUGUCGUGAGAUGUUGGGUUAAGUCCCGCAACGAGCGCAACCCUUGUCAUUAGUUGCUACAUUCAGUUGGGCACUCUAAUGAGACUGCCGGUGACAAACCGGAGGAAGUGGGGAUGACGUCAAGUCCUCAUGGCCCUUACGUCCAGGGCGACACACGUGCUACAAUGGCAGCUACAGAGGGUCGCAAUACCGCGAGGUGGAGCCAAUCCCUAAAAGCUGUCUCAGUUGGGAUCGGAGUCUGCAACUCGACUCCGUGAACGCGGAAUCGCUAGUAAUCGUGGAUCAGCCAUGCCACGGUGAAUACGUUCCCGGGCCUU